rnacentral:rRNA from 1 species
UGGCUCAGAACGAACGCUGGCGGCAGGCUUAACACAUGCAAGUCGAGCGCCCCGCAAGGGGAGCGGCAGACGGGUGAGUAACGCGUGGGAAUCUACCCUUGACUACGGAAUAACGCAGGGAAACUUGUGCUAAUACCGUAUGUGUCCUUCGGGAGAAAGAUUUAUCGGUCAAGGAUGAGCCCGCGUUGGAUUAGCUAGUUGGUGGGGUAAAGGCCUACCAAGGCGACGAUCCAUAGCUGGUCUGAGAGGAUGAUCAGCCACAUUGGGACUGAGACACGGCCCAAACUCCUACGGGGGGCAGCAGUGGG